rnacentral:rRNA from 1 species
ACCAGUUGUCGUGCCAACGGCAUAGCUGGGUAGCUAUGUAUGGACGGGAUAAGUGCUGAAAGCAUCUAAGCAUGAAGCCCCCCUCGAGAUGAGAUUUCCCAACUUCGGUUAUAAGAUCCCUCAAAGAUGAUGAGGUGAAUAGGUUCGAGGUGGAAGCGUAGCGAUACGUGGAGCUGACGAAUACUAAUCGAUCGAAGACUUAAUCAA